GGUUUUCCACGCGUCAGUUGCGCAAUGAACAGAUUAAUCGCGUAUCAAUCGCCUUAAACAUCCAACAGCUACUCUAUUCAACGGAUUGUUGACCACUUCAACGACAGAAAUCGCCUAAGUGCUCGGGGGCUACGGGUACCGUACCCGUUGGUCAGUUUUUUCUUUUCAAGAUCUCCAAGGGUAAAAUGGACAAAAGCUGGUUUGACCCUCAGCCUGACUCUUCG
rnacentral:lncRNA from 1 species